rnacentral:rRNA from 1 species
CGAACGCUGGCGGCGUGCUUAACACAUGCAAGUCAAGGAGAACGCUUUCUUCGGAUGGCAAGUAAACUGGCGCACGGGUGAGUAAUAUGUAAGCAACCUACCAAUGGGUUUGGGAUAACCCAGAGAAAUCUGGGCUAAUACCAAAUAAUGCAGCGGCAUCGCAUGAUGAUGUUGUUAAAGUAAUUUAUUACGCCUAUUGAUGGGCUUGCAACUGAUUAGUUUGUUGGUAAGGUAACGGCUUACCAAGACUACGAUCAGUAGCUGGUCUGAGAGGAUGAUCAGCCACACUGGAACUGAGACACGGUCCAGACUCCUACGGGAGGCAGCAGUGAGGAAUAUUGGGCAAUGGGCGAAAGCCUGACCCAGCAACGCCGCGUGGAGGAUGACUGCCGUAAGGUUGUAAACUCCUUUUGAAGGGGACGAAAAAAUAGGUUUGUAGCCUAUAUUGACUGUACCCUUAGAAAAAGCCCCGGCUAACUAC